rnacentral:misc_RNA from 1 species
GGCUCAUUCCCAACUGCAACAUACCUGCACAGAUAUAGUAUAUGUAUUGAAUAAAUGCAGAGCAUAAUUAUGAGGCUUUAUUCUCAACAACGCCAAUAUUGGAAUCUAAACAAUCACCACGUAGAAUGAUCUACAAGCAAUGAAUGUAAAUGCUCCAUCAGUUUUCAAUGCAUUGCAUACAUUCCUUUCUCCUGAAUUCUACUAAUUUAAAGCAGGAAUAGAAGCAGCCAUAUAACUUCACUCAGCUCAACUCAACUCAGCCUUUACCCACAAAAUUUGGGGUCGGCUAUAUGAAUUCGCUUUCUCCACUCUAAACGAGUAGCUAGCUUGACACAAAUUGCCUCCCUUCCCUCCACUUCCUCUUGUACCCCCAACUAUUUUAGCUCACAAAGUCUGAAGUCCUGCAGACAAGAUGCAAGAUAUAACACUGAUGGUUUGACUGCUCAACCCUAUUUCAAUUUUUUUUUUUUCCUUUUGAAACAAACAAUGGAGGCCAUUGCAGGGGUAAAACCCAAAAGAAAACUCUCGUACCAAAAGUUCCUAUUUUAGUACAAGCAUCUAUUAAAGGUAAUAAUAAAUUACUGGAAUAUUUAUUUUAGCAUUCCAUGAGUAGAAGGUAGAUAUAUCUAAGUUUCUCCUCUGUUUGAACUCAUUUCCUUCCCAAUUUGGCGUUUCAUCUAAAUUUAAAUCAAAUUCAUGAUUUGGUUGACGACGGACAUUAAUUCUUUGCCACAAAGUGGACAGAACAAGUCAACACCAAAAGUAAUCCAGCAAGCAAGUUUUCUCUUUCAUAAUUUCCCCUUCAUAGUUUCCCCACGGUCUAAAAUUGUCCCAAAAACUUGAGACAAAGAAUCUAGCUUAGAAAAGGCCAUAAAUUAUUUUGGCUCUUUUAUUUUGGUAUGGUUAAGUUUCAUGUCCCAUAGUUUUCAUUAUUUCAAAUUUGAAUUCAACUGAACAAAACCAAACCAACCAAUGCGCGCCCCCCGCCUAUCAAUAUUGGCUGCUGAACAAAUUGCUAGUGAAUGCGUUCACCUCUCGAUCUUGAGUUCAUACACCACUAUUUAAAUAAAACAAGCUCUAAAGUUGAAUUCAUAAUGCUAUUUUCAAAAAACUGAAACAUUGGUGCAACCAGCACUGCUUUGGCAUGCACACAGAUUAUCUAGGUUUUGCCAAUACUUAUACAAGGAAAAUUUAGAGCAACGACUGAAGUUGCUAAUAAGGAACAUUUAUCCUAUUAACAGGAAGUAGUCUUACCGAGAAGUCAUCACAAGAUGCAUUACCCGCUGCUUUUGGAAUGAACACUGCUCCACAAGAUCAAGAGUGAACUCAUCCUUUGCUCCCUCAGGAUUUUGAGAAUCAACAGCAUCAAGGACUUCUUUCAAAAUCUCUAGUGCGUUGCUAGCCUUCUGAAUGAUACUGUAUAUAAUUAAAUAAAAAACUGGGAAUCAGUAUCAUUUGAAGGAACAAAGUACAAAAUGCAUAUAAUAUUUUAUGAGGAACUAAAAAUAACCACAGCCAUAGACAUCAUCUAAAUAGAAAGCAGAACUUGAGAUAGGCAACAUCCUAACAAUAUUCAUGUCCUAGCCGUAAAUAUAUAGCAAUAAAAUUUCUAGGUAUGGAGGGAAAAAAAGACAUGUUUUGAUAAGCAGAUGGACAAAAGGUACAAAUAAGCUAAAUAAGAGCAAAAAGUGGGCCAAGCCUCUUGUGCCAAGACAUGACCUCGUAGACAACACAGAGUAACAUCUACGACUAUUUUAUAAGCCAGACAGGAAUGAGCUUCCACAAGCGUUUAUUGUGAGAUGAGUUGCUUCCACACAUUUGAGCAUGAAUUAUGGAAAUCAAACAAAUAUGCUUGUUGAUGUCUAAGAUUAAACAAUUCAAUAAAUUUCCAGAGUCAACAGGUGUGCAUUUACUAUUUUGUUUAAUCUUAUUUAUGAAAAAGAAAUAAAUUUAAAUUAAAGAGUAAGAAUAAAAUAUACCUAGGAGGAUAAAGUUUCCUCAUAAAAUAAGCAAUACUUAAAUAUUAUAACAAUUAAAAAAACCCCAAUAACAUCAAAGGAAAUUAAGAAGUAGCGCCUUCCAAAUCAAGCUAAAUAACAAAAAAGGAAAUUCCAUGAAAGGCCCAUGAUGCACCUGCAUGCAAAAAAGUCAAGAAAAAACUUCGCUCCAUAAUAGAUUUAAAAACAUAACUUGGCCCCAAAAAUGCAAGCACCCUUUCCAUCUAAAUCUCCACAACACUGCAAAGAAAGAACAAUUCUAACACUCUGUUUGAUGGGGUUAAGUUAAAGGGGAAGGGAAAAAAAAGAAAAGAGGAGUGUUUUGU